rnacentral:snRNA from 1 species
UCAUCGAUUCGGCGGUAAAUAUACUAAAAUUGGAACGAUACAGAGAAGAUUAGCCUGCCCCCUGCGCAAGGAUAAAAUAAAUAUUGUUUGACUUCGUAUGUUGAUUUUU